rnacentral:tRNA from 1 species
GGUAGAAUGGCUGAAUGUUUAAGCGGUGGAUUGUAGUCCCAUGCAUAGAGGUUAGACUCCUCUUUCUAUCA